rnacentral:lncRNA from 1 species
UAUUUUUAAAUUAUUUUGAUGUAUUGAUAUUAAAAAUAAUUUUUUAAAAAUAAAAAAAAUUAUUUUAAUAUAUUUUUAAGUAAAAAAUACUUUAAAUCAUAACCAUUGUCAUCUGUUUUUGGAAUUAUUAUUUUUUAAAAAAAUAAUAAACUAAUAUUUUCAGUUUUUUUUUAUUGUUUUGAUGUUUUUUAAUUAAAAAAAUUAUUUUAAUUAAAAAAUAUCAUACAACUCGUUAAACACACUAUAAAUUUCGUCUAUUGUCUUACUUUUAUCAUUAUAAUCCAAAAACAAUCCAAGACUUGAACACAGGGAUCCAAGAAGCACCACCGAGUUAUUGCUUGAGGCGGUACGAAAAAUCUGUCCAUGUCAUAAAACACGUGUUUUUUUGUACAAUACUCGGGAUUAAGGUAUCCGAGAUAAAUAUACAGUUCUAUCAACAAAAGGCUAC